CUGUCCUGGCCUGUGCUUUUCCUGUCCACUGUGAUGGCUCCAAGACCAUCGUCCGGGCUGUACACACAUAAUCUCCCUGUCUAUUUAGGAUGACUGUCCUGAGCAUAAGGCUGGCUCUUAAAGCUAGGAAAGGAUACA